rnacentral:misc_RNA from 1 species
AAGUCGUAACAAGGUUUCCGUAGGUGAACCUGCGGAAGGAUCAUUAUCAUCCAUUUUUUUUAUUUUGUAUUCACUUACAAAAUAAAAAACAUAAACCAAUCGUGAACCGUUCGCCUCCAAUGGAAAUUGAGAUUUGCUUUCUUUUUUUGAAGGCUCUUUUCAUUCGAGUGAGUGCAUAGUAACUGUCUGACACAAAAAAAACAAUUUUUUGUUGUUUUUUAGGAUUUUUUUUUUGUGUUUUGUUAUUUGUGCCAUGAUUUUUCAUAAUCACGCUCUUUUCAUUGGUUGUAUUUUUCUCUCUAAAAACAAAUUAUUUACCCUUGAAACAAAUUCAUUCAUAUUUUUAUGAACUGAAAAAAAAAAGAGUUAACAAAAUAAUGUAAAAAUUAUAAAACAACUCUUAGCAACGGAUAUCUUGGUUCUC